UACGUAGGUGGCAAGCGUUGUCCGGAAUUAUUGGGCGUAAAGCGCACGUAGGCGGCUUUUUAAGUCAGGGGUGAAAUCCCGGGGCUCAACCCCGGAACUGCCCUUGAAACUGGAGAGCUAGAAUCUUGGAGAGGCGAGUGGAAUUCCGAGUGUAGAGGUGAAAUUCGUAGAUAUUCGGAAGAACACCAGUGGCGAAGGCGACUCGCUAGACAAGUAUUGACGCUGAGGUGCGAAAGCGUGGGGAGCAAACAGG
rnacentral:rRNA from 1 species